rnacentral:lncRNA from 1 species
AACAAUAUACACAACCCUAUAUACCCACACAUAUACAAUGAACAGAGGUGGAGAGGGAGAUAUACAGUAUGCAAAACAAAGAGGAAACAGUGAGUAAAUAGAAAAAAUAGUGAGAAAUUAGAGAGAAAUUGUGCAGACCAGUGACAAAGAGACGACUAAGGAGAAGGGGGAAAUACAAAAAUACAAAGAAAAUAACGUAAGGGAGAACCUUCCUAUCGCUCUAGUGAUUUUUAGCACUGGUCCCUCGUUAAUUUUUGAACCGCUGGUAAAGCUCACCACAGCUUCGGUAGGACAACUCCCCAAACUAGCUCAUUUUUCCAAAAAAGCAACUCUCACCAGAAAACACCGAAACUAAUGAACACAAAAACUCCCUGAACCCAAGCGACCAAAAUAACCCUAUACUCCACUCAAAACCACCAGUUCUGCAACCCUUAAGUUUCCCAUUCUCUGCCAAAACCACGCCCAUCGAAAAAUGACCCAUUAUCAUGGUAAAAUAAGAACAACUCUGUUUCUCGUAUUCUCCUAACAGAAACAAUAACUAUCAGUCGAUAGCAGCGCAAAAAUACAUUAGAAAAAACUAUCGAGUUUGGGCAAAACGAAGUUCAAGGUUGAAGUUGUUCAUCAUGGGUUCUUAUUGAGGUUCAACUAGAGGUUUCCAAUGAAAAUUUUGUCUUGUUUAAUCGAGUAAUACUUGAUUCUGAAAGAUUCAAUUAAGAUUCAUUCCUCAUCUCAUUCUCGACUCAUCUUAAGUGUUUAAUACUUUAUGUGGUGAAUUCAUGAUAUGUGGAUUUUGAUUUUUCUAAUUUUGUUAUGUCCACAUCAUGGUUAUUGAUUAUUGAUAUUGAUUGUUUGGUCAGCUUGAUUUGGGAAAUAGAAUGAUUUUAAAUUUAAUUGGGGUAAAACUUAAUUCUAGUUGUGUUUGAAAAUUGAUAAAAGUUUAUGUGAUCGGUUUUCUUUGAUUCAUUGAUUAUUGUUUAAUUCAGAAUAGGCGCCAAUUUUAUUAAAUUUAAUAGUAGUAUGUAUAGGUCAAAUUAGGUAGUUGAUUUUAGGUUGGGUAGGAAAUUCUAAGGAAUUGUGGAUUGUCAAAUGAUUAAAUUGAUAUGUUUAUUGCAAUUUAUUCCAUUAAUUCAAAUGUACUUAUUUUACCACAGAAUGCCCUGAGCUAAAUUUUAUUUAAUCAUCGAAAAAUUCCCUAGCGUAUUAUAUAUUCAAAGGAGGUUCGUGAUCAAUGCCUGAGGGAUAGAGUAGAUCAUAGUUUUGGGUAAUUUAACUUAGUGUAGGUUUUCAUUUCAGUACAUUUUUCAUUUUUUGGACUGAAUAAUUGAACUAGACAUUAUUUUUUAAAACUUUUGUUGUUUGUUUGUCUAUUUUAUACAGUAUGUGUUCCUUUUGUGAGUUUAUCAUCUCAUAGUUUAAUAUUAGCCGAUAUAACUCAACGAAUCAAUCAUGGUCGAACUAUGGGAUCGAGGGAUGCCUAACACCUUUUCUCAAUCAACAGAAUACCUUAACCAGAAUCUCUGUUUGUGAAUUAAUUUUAAGAGUCAACUAUUUUUGAAAAGAAAAUUGAAAAAGGUGACUUGGCACACCAAAUAAUGCCAUGUAGAGACUCUAGAGUUUUAAUUACAAAAUCAUUUUUCAAAAUACAUAUUCUUUUGUCACUUUAAUAAUUAAAGACCUUUCAAACAUAAAAAGUAGAUCUUUUUUUAUAAAAAUGGGGUUUGACAAUGGAUAUAAA